AGGAUGACUUCAGAAGAAACUCCCAGAGCCUCCAGUGAUAUCUCUCCAACUCCAACAACUUCCUUAAUCUCUACCAGUGUUUGUGAGGAGCCAUAUUAAAGAAGCUUGGUUAUCAAUUCGGGUUGUUGCUGACUGCUAAGGUAUCUAUCCAAGGCCUCUUGGAAGAACACUGCUGCUGCUGCUGCUGCUGCUGCUGCGUCGCUUCAGUCGUGUCCGACUCUGUGCGACCCCAUACACGGCAGCCCACCAGGCUCCCCCGUCCCUGGGAUUCUCCAGGCAAGAAUACUGGAGUGGGUUGCAAUUUCCUUCUCCAAUGCAUGAAAGUGAAAAGUGAAAGUGAAGUCGCUCAGUCGUGUCCGACUCUUAGCGACCCCAUGGACUGCAGCCCACCAGGCUCCUCCAUCCAUGGGAUUUUCCAGGCAAGAGUACUGGAGUGGGGUGCCAUUGCCUUCUCCGUGGAAGAACACUAUUUCUAUCCAAUUCAACGAUAAUCACCUCCAAGCCUUGCUUAUUUAUCAACAUCUGUUCUUACAAAUUCCCAGGUGUGUAUUUUCAGUUUGAAAGUUCCUACCUUGAGACAGGAGGGUGGAAAUAUGAAAGUACUGUCUGUGUUUCUCAUCCUUUCUUGAGAACAAGUUUGAGUGAUUCCUCACCCAAACCUGGCUUCUGCCUGGACAAGAAGCAAACACAAAAACAAAAGUUGGCAUGUGCAAACAACGCACAGAUAUACGUGUGCCUUUGCCGAUCCACCUGAGAGUCUGCCACAUCUCAUUUAUUUGUUGUGGGGCUAUCUGGAGAGGUACAAGUUAAAAGUGAAAAUAUGUAACCUGGGAACUUAUCCACAUUUGUUUGGUACUAACCUCUUUAUCAGAGCAACAAGCCACAAGUAGAGAAGUUUCAUGAAGAAAAUACUGAAUGCUGACUAACCCAGAUUGGGAAUGGUCAGUAUCUUCCAGAACUGGAUCUGACCAACCUCCAAGGAACCACACAUAUUAUAUUUUCCCAGCAUGUGAAAAAACUUAUUCAAUCAUGGAAGGAGCAUGACACUGGGAGAGAUUGAAGGCAGUUUUUGCCUACAGAAGAUAUUGAUUGGAAGCUUUUGUUUAUGUAUUUGUCUCUUUGUUUUCAAGGAGGAGCAAAGUAUCUCCUAGCUAAUUUAACUUCUGAACCUCCUCGGCUACUUCCAGUCCUCAAGAAGCCAGUAAUGUGUAUGAGAAUCAUUUGACUUAUCAGAAAGGAAAAUGGAAGUAAGAGAGGACACAACUGCAUUUAAGUGAACUUGGUGGAAACUUACUUCCAGUAAUCCAUCGAAGUAAGCAUGCGAUAUUAAUUUCACCCUUGGCACAAAGAUCAAUGAUGUUGCCAUUGUCGAUGUUCUGUUUAUAACAAUAUU
ensembl:lncRNA